CAUAUCCAACCAAUAGUUCUCGGGGGUUAGAAUUACUCGCAGGUGCCCUGUUCUAUCUCACCUGCUUUUUACAAAUGAUACCAUCCUUUUCGUUAAGGCUGAUGUCCAAGAGGUCAGGGGGUUAAGGAAACUUUGGACCAUUACCAAGCUACAUCAGGCCAGCUCUUUAACUUAUCUAAAUCAGGUGUAUUUAUUGGGCAAUCAGUUUCUGCUCAAGCAAAGAGACAAAUUCUAACUAUACUGGGGGUUAAACAAAUUAUAAAAGGGGAUAAGUAUCUAGGAGCCCCUAUUAUUUGAGGCAAAAGCAAGAAACAAACUUUAGAUUUUCUUAAGAGCAGAAUUUUACAGAGAAUCUAAGGUUGGAAGUAGAAAAUGUUAUCUUAUGGAGGUAGGGAAGUUAUGAUUAAAUCUAUACUAUCAUCGCUUCCCUCGUUCAUAAUGUCUUGUUUUCUUGUUACCAGGAGUUUGUGUGAGGAGCUUAAUGGUCUAUUGGCUAAAUUCUUGAGGAGCCAAGAUAUGAAUAGUCAUCGUGUGAGCUUUAUUAGUUGGUCAAAUAUGUCCAAACCGAAGGAGCUAGGUGGAUUCGGGUUCAGGGACCUGUUAUUCUUUAAUUUAGCUUUGUUGGCUAAGCAAGUCUGGAACCUUUUUAAUGAUCCCAAUUUCAUGUGGGCCAAAAUUGUUAGGGCAAUCUAUUUUCCUCAUUGUUCUUUCUGGGAGGCUAAGACUGGAUAUCGACCCUCACGAGUCUGGAGAAGUAUGUUGACUACUAGAAAUGUGCUUAAGCUAGAGGGCUUUUAGGUUGAUUGGGAAUGGGCAAUCCACUUUCAUUUAGGGUGAUCUAUGGUUGCCCAGCACUCUAGGGUUUAAGCUCUUCUCUAUUAGAACUCAGGACUUUAAUCUUCAUAGGGUGAGUGAUGUUAUCAGAGCUAGUGAGUAGGAUUGUAGGGGAUUAGCUAGUUAUCUCACAUCCCUAGAAUUAAAAGCAAUUACAAUGUGCUAACCAAGUGCUGCCAAUGAAUCUGACAGAUGGGUUUGGAAAUUCUCAAAAGAAGGGCUCUAUUCCGUUAAAUCGGGAUAUUAUGCCUUGAAAAACCAAGUUGAAUUUCAAGAAGGGUCGAGCCCUUCCUCUCCUACUCAGCCAUCUCUAACUUUCUAGAAAAAAAUCUGAAAGGUUAACCUAACCCCAAAGAUCAAGACCUUCUUAUGGCGGGCUGCUAAGCAAGUCCUUCAUGUUGGUAGGGUUCUCGUCCGUAGGAAGCUUAAUGUGAAUAAUAUAUGUUGCUUAUGUGAUCAAAAUCCUGAAUCAGUGAAACACCUACUGUUGUUUUGUCCCAUGGUGCGACUAGUAUGGUUUACUUCUUUAUUGGCCUACUCUCCCACUACAUUUGAAGGGAUCUCCUUUGCGGAAUGGUGGAAAAUAAUGAUGAGAACCUGUAAAGGUCCUAAUAUGGUUGACAUUCUAACUAGAAUUGGUUUCAUAGGCUGUAUGGAGAGGGAUGAAUGAGCUUAUAUUUUCAGGAACUCCUUUUGAUCCUGUUAAGAUUGGAAAGCUAAUGGGUCUCUAGUGGAUGGUGCUGCAGUGAUGAUUCCAUGCUUAACUGAGGAGGCUGCAGAAGCCCAGGCGAUUCUCCUUUGUCUCCAGGUUGCCCAGAAUUUUGGGGUAGGAUCUUUUGGCAUAUUUGGUGAAAACAAACUUCUUAGUAAUGUUGUAAAUGGCAAUUCUCCUGUUCCUUGGGAUACUCUUAGUACUGUUCACCAAGCAAAGGAGAGACUCCGUUAUUUAUUUUUUUUGUGAACUUUGGUUCUGUUUGUAAAACUAAGAAUUCUAUAGCCAGAUGAGUGGCAGAGCGAUUAUCCAAGGGGAAUCUCUCUUGUGCUUGGCUAUUUGUUUCUCUUAGUAAUGAAUAAGUUAUUUGACCCAAGAAAA